UUUUUAGAUUUGGCUCACAAGCAGAAAGUUGAAAGAAAACCUGCGCCAAGAAUCCGUGAAAGAAGAAGUCAGAUGAAAACUCAGGUCAAGGAGGAAGCUGAAGUAACGCAGAAGUAGUUUGAAUUCUAAAGGCCAGAAGUUACAGGAUGUGAAGAUUUGGCCAUUAUUGAUUUUCUUUUUCUCCCUCAAAUCUUACAAAGAAAGAUACUGGUGUUUGGAUA